rnacentral:rRNA from 1 species
UACAGAGGGUGCAAGCGUUGUUCGGAAUUAUUGGGCGUAAAGGGCGCGUAGGCGGUGCGGUAAGUCACCUGUGAAACCUCUGGGCUCAACUCAGAGCCUGCAGGCGAAACUGCCGUGCUGGAGUGUGGGAGAGGUGCGUGGAAUUCCCGGUGUAGCGGUGAAAUGCGUAGAGAUCGGGAAGAACAUCGGUGGCGAAAGCGCUCUACUGGACCGCAACUGACACUCAGGGACGAAAGCUAGGGGAGCGAAUGGG